rnacentral:tRNA from 1 species
GCGGGUGUCGUAUAAUGGCUAUUAUGACAGCCUUCCAAGCUUUAGAUGUGGGUUCGAUUCCCAUCACCCGCUCCA